GGUUCAAUCAUAAAAGGUGGCUUUUAGCUACCACUUACAGAUGGACCCGCGGCGCAUUAGCUAGUUGGUGAGGUAACGGCUCACCAAGGCGACGAUGCGUAGCCGACCUGAGAGGGUGAUCGGCCACACUGGGACUGAGACACGGCCCAGACUCCUACGGGAGGCAGCAGUAGGGAAUCUUCCGCAAUGGACGAAAGUCUGACGGAGCAACGCCGCGUGAGUGAUGAAGGUUUUCGGAUCGUAAAACUCUGUUGUUAGGGAAGAACAAGUACCGUUCGAAUAGGGCGGCACCUUGACGGUACCUAACCAGAAAGCCACGGCUAACUACGUGCCAGCAGCCGCGGUAAUACGUAGGUGGCAAGCGUUGUCCGGAAUUAUUGGGCGUAAAGCGCGCGCAGGCGGUUUCUUAAGUCUGAUGUGAAAGCCCCCGGCUCAACCGGGGAGGGUCAUUGGAAACUGGGGAACUUGAGUGCAGAAGAGGAGAGUGGAAUUCCACGUGUAGCGGUGAAAUGCGUAGAGAUGUGGAGGAACACCAGUGGCGAAGGCGACUCUCUGGUCUGUAACUGACGCUGAGGCGCGAAAGCGUGGGGAGCGAACAGGAUUAGAUACCCUGGUAGUCCACGCCGUAAACGAUGAGUGCUAAGUGUUAGAGGGUUUCCGCCCUUUAGUGCUGCAGCAAACGCAUUAAGCACUCCGCCUGGGGAGUACGUCG
rnacentral:rRNA from 1 species